GAUGAACGCUGGCGGCGUGCCUAAUACAUGCAAGUCGAGCGAACAGACGAGGAGCUUGCUCCUCUGACGUUAGCGGCGGACGGGUGAGUAACACGUGGAUAACCUACCUAUAAGACUGGGAUAACUUCGGGAAACCGGAGCUAAUACCGGAUAAUAUAUUGAACCGCAUGGUUCAAUAGUGAAAGACGGUUUUGCUGUCACUUAUAGAUGGAUCCGCGCCGCAUUAGCUAGUUGGUAAGGUAACGGCUUACCAAGGCGACGAUGCGUAGCCGACCUGAGAGGGUGAUCGGCCACACUGGAACUGAGACACGGUCCAGACUCCUACGGGAGGCAGCAGUAGGGAAUCUUCCGCAGUGGGCGAAAGCUUGACGGAGCAACGCCGCGUGAGUGAUGAAGGUCUUCGGAUCGUAAAACUCUGUUAUUAGGGAAGAACAAAUGUGUAAGUAACUAUGCACGUCUGGACGGUACCUAAUCAGAAAGCCACGGCUAACUACGU
rnacentral:rRNA from 1 species